ACCUGGGAAUUGCAUUGGAAACUAGCGGGCUGGAGUGUGGCAGAGGGGGGUGGAAUUCCACGUGUAGCAGUGAAAUGCGUAGAGAUGUGGAGGAACACCGAUGGCGAAGGCAGCCCCCUGGGCUAACACUGACGCUCAUGCACGAAAGCGUGGGGAGCAAACAGGAUUAGAUACCCUGGUAGUCCACGCCCUAAACGAUGGCAACUGGGUGUUGGGGAAGCGAUUCCUCAGUACCGUAGCUAACGCGUGAAGUUGCCCGCCUGGGGAGUACGGCCGCAAGGUUAAAACUCAAAGGAAUUGACGGGGACCCGCACAAGCGGUGGAUGAUGUGGAUUAAUUCGAUGCAACGCGAAAAACCUUACCUACCCUUGACAUGUCCGGAAGCCCGCUGAGAGGUGGGUGUGCCCGAA
rnacentral:rRNA from 1 species